CACUCCAACGCCUUCUGCUCGGGGAGACUGCGAGGAGCUUGCAACAGGCGGAGACAGAUGGGAGUUAAUGGGAGGGACGAAGAAUAUAAAAAAUAUUUGGGUAUUUUUCUGAUUUGAAAAACAUUUUCUGCAGUAAACGCAAGUGAGUCUGGUGGUGCAGGGAAAAAAAGUGAGGAGGGGGCGCUUACUGCACAUUUAAUGUUUUGGACGUAAGGUUCCAGCGAAAUGCCUUUGUGUGUGGAGGUUUGUUCAGUACUUGCUAAAAAUAGCAUCAGGGUUUGAUCGUGUUCCAGAAAUAAACCGAGGGCUGCACUGGGAUAAAAAGCCAGCGCGGGUGGAAGAAAACCUGGACAUCACCGCAUUCCUCCCCCCACAACUAUGUCUGGAAAUUAAUUGUUGGAUUUUUCCUCUCCUCUCUCCUCUUUCCAUCCACUUUCUCUUUCCUCCCCCUAUGUUUCUCUUUCUCUCUCUUAAGGAGUUCCCGUUUGGGUGAUCAAACCUGUCCUGACACCUGGAGGUCUGCAUGAGGGGUGGUCACUGAAGGAGGAGUUCUCAAAGGCCACAGGUAAUGAAGACCUUGGAUGAAUGAGCUUAGAAGUCCCAGGAAAAUGCAAAAAUUUCAUCUCCUGAAGAGAUCUGAAGUUUUUUUUGUUUUUUUUGAGAUUCUUUUAAAGGUGAAACUUUUCUUCUUUAGAUGCAGAGACAAAGUUUUGCCAUGCUGCCCAGCUGGUCUUGAACUCCUGGACUCAAGCAAUCCUCCUGACUUGGCUUGCCAUAGUGCUGGGACUACAGGGGAUUUGUAAUGGAGUACUCUGGGGAACAACAUCCGUAAGGGAGUGAAGGAAGCUGGAGGAAGCUGAAAGAGAAGUUGAGCUGCACUGCAGUAUAAUGGAAGCUUCAGGAAAUUCCACUGGGAGCUCUGAAGCUGGGAAGGCUUUUCAGAGAUGUUCAUAGUUGAGGUGGAGUUUUGCUCUUGUUGCCCAGGUUGGAAUGCAAUGGUGCAAUCUCAGCUCACCACAACCUCCACCUCCCGGGUUCCAGCAAUUCUUCUGCCUCAGCCUCCCAAGUAGCUGGGAUUACAGGCAUGUGUCACCAAGCCCAGCUAAUUUUGUAUUUUCAGUUGAGACAGGGUUUCUCCAAGUUGGUCAGGCUGGUCUUGAACUCCCGACCUCAGGUAAUCCACCCACCUUGGCCUCCCAAAGUGCUGGGAUUACAGGCUUGAGCCACCACGCCCUGUCUCACUAUGGUAUUUUUAACUAUAUAUUAUUGAGUGGAGAAAGAAAGUUGUUGAAUUAUUUUUGUAUGAUCACAGCUUUUACUUCUAAAAAAGUAUAUAUGUAUAUGUUGUGUAUAUUAUAUAGCUUCAUACUUAGAAAUGGAAAUGAAAAGAAAAAGAAAUGGAAGAAUACAGUACAAAUUGCCAACUGUUAGUGGGAAUAGAAAAUGGGGUGGGAUGCUUUUUUGUUUCAUAUAAUUCCAUGUGCUUUUGAAACUAAAAAAUAAGUAAAAUUUUAAAACUACAUCUUCUAAUCACUUGUGUCAAAAUACUGAUUUCAGUUUUAUUUGAGAAACAGGUUUACAGAAGACUAUGAAUGUGAGUCUAAGUUCUAUUAUAAAAUAGGUGGCAGAGUAGAAAGAGCCCUGCAUUUUUAGUGCAGACAUCUUGGUUCUAGAAAGAGGCCUGCUACAGUAAAGUGUUCAUUCCCCAAGAAGUUUAACUUAAAGAGUUAAUUUUCUUGUUGAAAAAAUGGAGGCGUUAUUUUGAAGUUUGAAUGGGGUAAUGUAUGUGAACUGACUUUGAAGUUGAUAAUGCAAUAUUAAAGCAUAAUAAAUGUUUUUUUGUUUGUUUUUGAGACAGUCUCGCUCUGUCGCCCAAGCUAGAGGGCUGUAGUGCAAACUUGGCUCACUGCAAUUCCUCCUCCUCGGUUCAAGGGAUUCUCCUGCCUCAGCCUCUAGAGCAGCUGGGAUUAUAGGCACCUGCCACCGCAUUUGGCUCAUUUUGGUAUUUUUAGUAGAGGCGGGGUUUUACCGUGUUAGCCAGUCUGGUCACCAACUCUUGACCUCAGGUGAUCCACCUGCCUUGGCUUCUCAAAGUGCUGGGAUUGUAGGCGUGAGCCACCUCACCCAGACGAUAAAUGUUAAUCUUCCUUUCUUACUGUAAUAUUGCUUGUUAAAUAAAUUAAAUAUUAACGUUUGGGAAAUCUCCCGAUUUCUAAUGCUAAAAACUCACUUUCUUUUAAAUUGGUUUGUUCAUCACAACACUUUUCUUUUUAACCCAGGAUUAGACAACUGAAUUUAAAGGUAGGUUGAAGUUCAAUAUUUUGAACAAUGUUUAAAUGAAGAUGAAAGAGACGAUAGAACUGUUAAAAGGUUUUAUUAUGCAGCCAAACGAAGGAGUCAGCUGUGUCCCAAAGGAUUAAACGAGAUGGUAUGCUUAAUAAUUCCCUGUGUCUAUGAAAUUCCCUCAUUAUGAAAUGUUCUUUCAUUCUAUUGAACGACUCCUGAUUUCAUCAGGAGACUCUGAUCUGAAACUCAAUUUACAGAAAUAUUAAGAAUGAAUUUUCAACUAAAUGGGAAUAUCUGUAUACUAAUAUGAUACAAUAUUGUUGCUUCAUAUUUUUCCAUAUUAAAUACCAUUCUAAACUUUAAAUUUGUUAAUAAAUGAAGCUGAAAUCUAA